ACAAAUCAGAGGAGGGGCAUCAACAGAAGAGCUCGCCAUCCACAACCGAGGGAGAGACGGGUACGUGGAGCGGAAGAACUUCCUGGAGCGUGUUGACCAUCGACAGUUCGAGCUGGAAAAAGCGGUGCGACUCAGCAACAUGAAACGAUGACACGUCGAUAUUUUAGAGCGGCCAAGCUGCUGCUCGUCCACCAGGACAG